rnacentral:rRNA from 2 species
CCGUGGUAAUUCUAGAGCUAAUACAUGCUAAAAAUCCCGACUUCGGAAGGGAUGUAUUUAUUAGAUUAAAAACCAAUGCCCUCUGGGCUCUCUGGUGAAUCAUGAUAACUGCUCGAAUCGCAGGGCCUCGUGCCGGCGAUGGUUCAUUCAAAUUUCUUCCCUAUCAACUUUCGAUGUUUGGGUAUUGGCCAAACAUGGUUACAACGGGUAACGGAGGGUUAGGGCUCGACCCCGGAGAAGGAGCCUGAGAGACGGCUACUACAUCCAAGGAAGGCAGCAGGCGCGCAAAUUACCCAAUCCCGACACGGGGAGGUAGUGACAAUAAAUACUGAUACAGGGCUCUUUCGGGUCUUGUAAUUGGAAUGAGUACAAUUUAAAUCCCUUAACGAGGAACAAUUGGAGGGCAAGUCUGGUGCCAGCAGCCGCGGUAAUUCCAGCUCCAAUAGCGUAUAUUAAAGUUGUUGUGGUUAAAAAGCUCGUAGUUGAACCUUGGGCCUGGCUGGCCGGUCCGCCUCACCGCGUGUACUGGUCCGGCCGGGCCUUUCCCUCUGUGGAACCCCAUGCCCUUCACUGGGCGUGGCGGGGAAACAGGACUUUUACUUUGAAAAAAUUAGAGUGCUCCAGGCAGGCCUAUGCUCGAAUACAUUAGCAUGGAAUAAUAGAAUAGGACGUGCGGUUCUAUUUUGUUGGUUUCUAGGACCGCCGUAAUGAUUAAUAGGGACAGUCGGGGGCAUCAGUAUUCAAUUGUCAGAGGUGAAAUUCUUGGAUCUAUUGAAGACUAACUACUGCGAAAGCAUUUGCCAAGGAUGUUUUCAUUAAUCAGGAACGAAAGUUAGGGGAUCGAAGACGAUCAGAUACCGUCGUAGUCUUAACCAUAAACUAUGCCGACUAGGGAUCGGACGAUGUUAUUUUUUGACUCGUUCGGCACCUUACGAGAAAUCAAAGUGCU